rnacentral:rRNA from 1 species
GAAGCGGCAAAGCUCAAAUUUGAAAUCUGGCACUUUCAGUGUCCGAGUUGUAAUUUGAAGAAGGUAUCUUUGGGUCUGGCUCUUGUCUAUGUUUCUUGGAACAGAACGUCACAGAGGGUGAGAAUCCCGUGCGAUGAGAUGUCCCAGACCUAUGUAAAGUUCCUUCGAAGAGUCGAGUUGUUUGGGAAUGCAGCUCUAAGUGGGUGGUAAAUUCCAUCUAAAGCUAAAUAUUGGCGAGAGACCGAUAGCGAACAAGUACAGUGAUGGAAAGAUGAAAAGAACUUUGAAAAGAGAGUGAAAAAGUACGUGAAAUUGUUGAAAGGGAAGGGCUUGAGAUCAGACUUGGUAUUUUGUAUGUUACUCUCUCGGGGGUGGCCUCUACAGUUUACCGGGCCAGCAUCAGUUUGGGCGGUAGGACAAUUGCAAAGAAAUGUGGCACUGCCUCGGUAGUGUGUUAUAGUCUUUGUCGAUACUGCCAGCCUAGACUGAGGACUGCGGCUUCGGCCUAGGAUGUUGGCAUAAUGAUCUUAAGUCGC